CAGUCGCCACGGGAAUACGAAGGGGGCUAGCGUUGCUCGGAAUGACUGGGCGUAAAGGGCGCGUAGGCGGUUUUGACAGUCAGAUGUGAAAUUCCUGGGCUUAACCUGGGGGCUGCAUUUGAGACGUCAAGACUAGAGUGUGAGAGAGGGUUGUGGAAUUCCCAGUGUAGAGGUGAAAUUCGUAGAUAUUGGGAAGAACACCGGUGGCGGAGGCGGCAACCUGGCUCAUUACUGACGCUGAGGCGCGAAAGCGUGGGGAGCAAACAGGAUUAGAUACCCCCGUAGUCCCUGUCUCUUAUAC
rnacentral:rRNA from 1 species